rnacentral:lncRNA from 1 species
AUCAGAGAUAUCAUUCAACGUCGUUGAUUCGUAAGUAGUACGGCUCGCCUUGUGAGCGAGUGUGUGGCAUACAAAUCAACGAAAAAGGGAAAAAAUAAAAAUUUCCUUAGUCUCUACAGCGUAACAGAAGAGUUACGAUAUCGACUAAAUAAAAAUCCCCGGCAACGACGCCAAAAACUUGAUCGCGACUUUAUGAGUCUAUCGGGGUACUAACUGCAA